rnacentral:rRNA from 1 species
GCAUAUCAAUAAGCGGAGGAAAAGAAACCAACAGGGAUUGCCCUAGUAACGGCGAGUGAAGCGGCAAUAGCUCAAAUUUGAAAGCUGGCCUUAUGGUCCGCAUUGUAAUUUGUAGAGGAUGCUUUUAGGCAGCCGCCGGUCUAAGUUCCUUGGAACAGGACGUCAUAGAGGGUGAGAAUCCCGUAUGUGACCGGCUCUGGCACCUUAUGUAAAGCUCCUUCGACGAGUCGAGUUGUUUGGGAAUGCAGCUCUAAAUGGGAGGUAAAUUUCUUCUAAAGCUAAAUACUGGCGAGAGACCGAUAGCGCACAAGUAGAGUGAUCGAAAGAUGAAAAGCACUUUGGAAAGAGAGUUAAAAAGCACGUGAAAUUGUUGAAAGGGAAGCGCUUGCAAUCAGACUUGGACUUGGCUGUUCAACCGGUCUUCUGACCGGCCUACUCAGUCUUGUCCAGGCCAGCAUCAGUUUCGGCGGCCGGAUAAAGGCCCUAGGAAUGUAGCUGCCUCUUCGGAGUCAGUGUUAUAGCCUAGGGUGUAAUACGGCCAGCUGGGACUGAGGUCCGCGCUUCGGCUAGGAUGCUGGCGUAAUGGUUGUAAGCGGCCCGUCUUGAAACACGGACCAAGGAGUCUAACAUCUAUGCGAGUGUUAGGGUGUCAAACCCUUACGCGUAAUGAAAGUGAACGGAGGUGGGAACCCGCAAGGGUGCACCAUCGACCGAUCCUGAUGUCUUCGGAUGGAUUUGAGUAAGAGCAUAGCUGUUGGGACCCGAAAGAUGGUGAACUAUGCCUGAAUAGGGUGAAGCCAGAGGAAACUCUGGUGGAGGCUCGCAGCGGUUCUGACGUGCAAAUCGAUCGUCAAAUUUGGGUAUAGGGGCGAAAGACUAAUCGAACCAUCUAGUAGCUGGUUCCUGCCGA